CUUCAAUCCAUACCAUUUUUUGUUUACCUUUCCUCUUUAUCUCUCCUGUUACACUGAAACUUUUGCUUCACCAAAUCCUUUGUAAUUGGUUUUUGUGAGUUUUGCAGUCUAAUAUUUCACAUGUUGUUUUCUGUGAGUUUUAUAGUCCGUUCUUCCAAAAGAAAUGACUUCACUGUCAAUCCCUUGGUAAAACGUAGAUCUUGCUUCUGUAAUAUUCUCAUACUUUUGGUUGCAUAACAGAAUAGCUAUAUGGGCCAUGAAAUGUCCCUUUUGCAAACGUGUGGAAUAACUGUUCUAUGGUGUAACUGUUUCACUUCUAAAAUUUUAACUGAAGUUGAGAUUGUGGAUAGCUAUUAUGUGAAACAACUUUUGCGUCUACAAUUUGAAUCGAAAUGGAGAAUAACUAUUUAAUAUGAAAUUGCUGUUUUGUUCCCCUACCAUUCCAUGAAGGCAUGAACCAAACAAAGCCUUAAUGUUGUUGAAUGUGAUGAAUUGGCUCUUUGAUUGAAACUAUAAUAAUUGCCAUGUGCCGUAAUUGGUCAAACUUUUGUCUUGUAUAGCUUUCCCUUUAACUUAGCAAGGACUUUGCCAUUACAUCAGACUUUUGUCGCACUUCUCCAUUUCAUCCUUCAAUCCUUCAAGUUUUCUUCUUAUUUUUUUUAUCAAAGAUGCAAGGAAUUGAAUGAUCACAUUGGUGGGACUUGUGCUCCAACGAGAUUCACAUCACUCCACUCUUUUCCCUUACAUUGCUAAAAUUGGAGAAUGCAAUUUGGACUCUUCUUAUCUUCAAUGCCUUAAUGUUCUAGUCAGUCAUGUUCUAGCUUCUUACCCUAAAUCAGGUUUUUUCUAUUGGCACUAUGUCAUCGUCAAAGCAUGCUCUAAGAAUUAUUGCAUAUACUUUGUCAAUCAGAGAGAGUCCUUUCCUUUCCAACACCUAUCAUAAAUUAUCUUUCAGAACAAUAUUUCAAGCCUGUUUUAAUCAGUAAAAACCAUUUGCAUUUCUCUUCUCUCUGUUCUGUACUUUUGUACUAAUUCAUUCCUUUAUGAGAAAGAUGGACCGCUAGUGAAUUUUUUCUAGCAUGAAACCAAACUGAUUCAGAGAUUGCGGAUGGACUUCUUAGUCUAUACUUCAUUACUCUAUCCCUAAAUUUCAUAUUUUCCCUUAUUCUUAAACCUUGAGGAUAGGAAACGAGGCUCCUUCUGUUAGAGCCAUAUGCUUUUUUUCUUAUAAAAUACAAUCAUUGAUUUGACUUUAUUAUAGUUAAUAAUGUUAGCAAAAAAACACCUAUAAACUUAUGAAGAUUAGAAAAAUAGAGAGAGAAACAUGAACUCAAGAAUUUAAUGUGGUUUGGCAAGUAUGCUACGUCCACCCAUAGUUGCUUGCUUUCACUAUUGAAAGGAGAAUAUUACAGCCCUAUUUAUA
rnacentral:misc_RNA from 1 species